GUCUAUGACCAUGCCAUCCUGAACAAGCCCGAUUCCAUCUGAUCUUGGAAGCUAAGCAGGGUCAGACCUGGUUAGUACUUGGAGAUCACCUAUAGGAAGACGAGGUGCCGUAGGCG
rnacentral:rRNA from 1 species